UUCUGUUUUUGCGUCUGACCCUCACUCAAGUCUUUGGAUUUCAGAUUUACACUUUUCCUUUCUUUGGACUGAACUUCGACUCAUCGCUGUUCUUCUUCUCUUCACGUCACUGAUCUUCUGUGGCUCCGAGGAUUAACGAAAGGUCUGUUAACAGAAACGUCCUGAUGGAGUUCAUGAAGGAGGA